CUAUCACUGAUCCGAUUGCAUCCAUGUGCAGUUGGUCGACAUGGGCCUUCAGCACUGAUCGCCUCGAAUUGCUCGCGAUCGUCGUGGUAAACAGAAUGUGGCAGCGAUGCCAUCCAGUGUUGUCGACGAUCAACCCGUGC
rnacentral:misc_RNA from 1 species